rnacentral:tRNA from 1 species
GGGCUUGUAGCUCAACUAGGUUAGAGCUCCCGGCUCAUAACCGGGCGGUUUCCGGUUCGAUUCCGGACGAGCCCA